CUAGUGCUCUCCGUUACAAGUA
rnacentral:miRNA from 1 species